rnacentral:rRNA from 1 species
AUGCGUUGUUGGGUAGGGGAGCGUUCUGUAAGCCUGUGAAGGUGGCCUGUGAGGGUUGCUGGAGGUAUCAGAAGUGCGAAUGCUGACAUAAGUAACGAUAAAGCGGGUGAAAAGCCCGCUCGCCGGAAGACCAAGGGUUCCUGUCCAACGUUAAUCGGGGCAGGGUGAGUCGACCCCUAAGGCGAGGCCGAAAGGCGUAGUCGAUGGGAAACGGGUUAAUAUUCCCGUACUUGGUGUUACUGCGAAGGGGGGACGGAGAAGGCUAUGUUGGCCGGGCGAUGGUUGUCCCGGUUUAAGCGUGUAGGUGUGUGUUCCAGGUAAAUCCGGUUCACUUUAACACUGAGGCGUGAUGACGAGGCACUACGGUGCUGAAGCAACAAAUGCCCUGCUUCCAGGAAAAGCCUCUAAGCAUCAGGUAACAUCAAAUCGUACCCCAAACCGACACAGGUGGUCAGGUAGAGAAUACCAAGGCGCUUGAGAGAACUCGGGUGAAGGAACUAGGCAAAAUGGUGCCGUAACUUCGGGAGAAGGCACGCUGACACGUAGGUGAAGUGAUUUACUCACGGAGCUGAAGUCAGUCGAAGAUACCAGCUGGCUGCAACUGUUUAUUAAAAACACAGCACUGUGCAAACACGAAAGUGGACGUAUACGGUGUGACGCCUGCCCGGUGCCGGAAGGUUAAUUGAUGGGGUCAGCGCAAGCGAAGCUCCUGAUCGAAGCCCCGGUAAACGGCGGCCGUAACUAUAACGGUCCUAAGGUAGCGAAAUUCCUUGUCGGGUAAGUUCCGACCUGCACGAAUGGCGUAAUGAUGGCCAGGCUGUCUCCACCCGAGACUCAGUGAAAUUGAACUCGCUGUGAAGAUGCAGUGUACCCGCGGCAAGACGGAAAGACCCCGUGAACCUUUACUAUAGCUUGACACUGAACAUUGAGCCUUGAUGUGUAGGAUAGGUGGGAGGCUUUGAAGCGUGGACGCCAGUCUGCGUGGAGCCGACCUUGAAAUACCACCCUUUAAUGUUUGAUGUUCUAACGUGGACCCGUUACCCGGGUUGCGGACAGUGUCUGGUGGGUAGUUUGACUGGGGCGGUCUCCUCCUAAAGAGUAACGGAGGAGCACGAAGGUUGGCUAAUCCUGGUCGGACAUCAGGAGGUUAGUGCAAUGGCAUAAGCCAGCUUGACUGCGAGCGUGACGGCGCGAGCAGGUGCGAAAGCAGGUCAUAGUGAUCCGGUGGUUCUGAAUGGAAGGGCCAUCGCUCAACGGAUAAAAGGUACUCCGGGGAUAACAGGCUGAUACCGCCCAAGAGUUCAUAUCGACGGCGGUGUUUGGCACCUCGAUGUCGGCUCAUCACAUCCUGGGGCUGAAGUAGGUCCCAAGGGUAUGGCUGUUCGCCAUUUAAAGUGGUACGCGAGCUGGGUUUAGAACGUCGUGAGACAGUUCGGUCCCUAUCUGCCGUGGGCGCUGGAGAACUGAGGGGGGCUGCUCCUAGUACGAGAGGACCGGAGUGGACGCAUCACUGGUGUUCGGGUUGUCAUGCCAAUGGCACUGCCCGGUAGCUAAAUGCGGAAGAGAUAAGUGCUGAAAGCAUCUAAGCACGAAACUUGCCCCGAGAUGAGUUCUCCCUGAGACUUAGAGUCUCCUGAAGGAACGUUGAAGACGACGACGUUGAUAGGCCGGGUGUGUAAGCGCAGCGAUGCGUUGAGCUAACCGGUACUAAUGAACCGUGAGGCUUAACCUUACAACGCCGAAG